UUAAUUCAAAUGAGACAUUUGGUAGAAAUUCAGUGUUAGAAACACAUAUACAUGAUUUCUCAGAAUUUCAUACAACUUGUUCAGAAAUCUUGCAAUGUGACAUUGUUCUUUUCAGCAGUUUCCUUGUACUAUGCAAUAUCAGAUGGCACUUGCCUUUUUAUUUUCUCUUAAGUACUAUACCUUCUAAAAACAUUUUCUGUUUCUUCCUAUGGCUGAUACCUGUGGGACUUGCAUCUACUCCAGCAGUGAACAGGAGCCUGAAGAACCCCAUGCCAGCAAGCAACAGUUUCAAACUGCAGUCCUGAUGUAACAAUCCUUUCUGUAUUAUAUGUAGAACAUACAAGGAUCCUCCUUGUGAUGCAAAGUCUCUAUCAACUAGAAUUUGGAGAAUAUUAAUUUUAGGCUACCCCAGACCGAGUCCCACGGGGUGACCCUCAGUUGGCUGGUUGAUGGGUGCCUGGAUAGCGUCAUUGAAAUCCCCACCAGGAAGACGGAAGGACUCUUGAGCUGCUGGAAUCUGAGCGGGUUUAUUGAGGAUUGAUCGAAGGAGUAGGGAGGCAGAAAUAGGAGCAGGCAGACAACCACACUCAGGGGAAGCAGACUCCGAGAGCCUGGGGGAAGGAGGGGCCAGAGUAUAUAACUCCAGAGUAUAUAAAUGGGGAGGGAAGGAGUGCCUAGGGUACAAAUGAUCCAAUGGGAAGAGGGUGUAAGGGAGGAACAGGGUUGGGGUAACAUAAACUGGGCCAAUGAGGGAAAAGGGAAGGAGUGGUUUACAGCCGGAACCAUUAGAAACAAGGAGAAUGGGGAACUUUCCAGAACUUGGGGAGAUGACAACCACAAAUUGACAGGUGAUGGGCAUCUGCUCAUUUGCAUUGGGGGGCAGAGUAGUUUAUCCUAAACGACUGUAGUUUCCCAUGACAUUCCCACACUGUCCUCCCCAUAGGCACAUCCCACAAUUAAUUAUCUGAGAAAAUAUUCAAGAUAACUUACAAAAACUGGUCUAGUUUAAAAAGUUGUACAAUAUCUAUGAGUUCUCAUCAGUUCAAUCUUUGUAGCAUUUAGGAUCUUUUACACCAACUGUUCCUAUUUCAGGAUCUGGGACAUUUGAAACAGCUUUUGGCAUAAAGAAGCAUAAGCUAUUCUAGGUUAUUUUUCUUCUGCACAGUUACCUUGUAGUUUUAAAGCCUGAUGUCUUGGGACCUCAUAAAGCUCAGAGCAAGUGCUCUGUGAGAGAGAUCAUCUUCUCUUACAGCACAGCGUUCCGGUUUCCAGUCCUGAGAAGAUGAGGUCUGUGAUAUGUCUGAGGCUCUUCUUUUCUCUCUUCUUUGGGCCAGCAGGUAGGAGCUGUCUGUGUUCAACAUUUGGACUGAAGGAUUGCUAGUCUGUCUGCUGCUUCUAAAAUGGCUGUGGAAAGCUACUCUCUAGAGCUUUGGAAUCUUAUGCCUAUUGCUAAAGAAGGUGGAGUAGAGGGAGGACAAAUAUACUGUGGGCAAUAAACUGUAAUAAGUGUAACUUAUUUCAUGGCUCCUGACAGUGCACUUGGUAUGUAUGUGUUAAGAGUCAGUGUGUGCAUACAGAAUUGUCUUUGGGUCUUCAUAUGAUUAGAUUUCUGUAAUACUCACAACUAGCAGUGAGCCAGCUAUCCUAGGUAUUGAAGUAAUAUAUAUUUUUUCCUUUAAAUACAGGAAGUAGACCUUUCCUUCUCAAGAAGGGGAGCUGAUACAACUGAAGCAGAGCUGGUUGCCUGCAUUGUAGUCAACAUUGAGUGCAUAAUAAUUAGCUUAAAGGUAUCCCUGCUCCAGUCCUGCAAGAUUCCAGUCUGCUGAAAGUGCAGAAGGCAUGCUUAGAUCCCUUUGGGCACAGAAUUGAUGGCUCCAACAGUUUUGGAGGUGUUGAUGUUCUCACUUGUAUGUGCCAUAGCAUAUUGAUGUAUACAAGGUAAAGGUAAAUACUAUCAAUGCAUAUUUUUUCUCUCUUGGUUGUGGCAAAGUGUUUUGUUUACUUUGUAUAACUUCAAAAUAUUUUACAGAUGUCUUUUGCCUCAUUAAUACCACCUCUAUAAUUUUGUGUUUGUACCAACCAGGUAUUGAACACGAGCACAGUGAUUUAGCAGUGCUUUCCCAUGUCAGUGGAUGCACUGGGUUCUCAUAUCUGAAGAAUGAAUCCUCCAUGUCAGACUGUAGAGAAGCAGUCCUAGCCUCCACGAAUGAGGCUUGGGCCUCAGGUUUACUGUUGUGUGGCUGAAGCUUGGCACACCUGCUGAACUGCUGUAACCACGCUCACAAAAGCACACAGCAAACAGAAGGCAACGUCACCUUACAUCUCUUCUCCUCUGGGCUGAACUAAAAUCUCCUCCUAUUUGCUCCAAUAGGAGGACAUCAUCACUUGCUGUGAGGUCACUAGAAUCAAUUCAGACUUAGGUCAAGAGUAUUAGCCCUUAAUUUCUAGUGAUCAAGAGUGAUUCUAGCAGUAUUUUCCAAGAACAGGGAAGUUUGUACUGGAGCCCUGUGGGUGGAGUUACUUUUUUGUUAAAUUUCUUUUGCAUUAUCAACUGAGUAUAAUUUUCUGAUUUUAUGCCUGUUCCAGGCUUCUGGGUAAAGUUCCUGUGUAAUGAUAAACA